rnacentral:rRNA from 1 species
AUGGCUCCCCUCCGUGCCCUCCCCGAGGAGAUGGUGAUAUGGGAGAUCCUCGUCCGCCUGCCUCCCAAAGCCCUCCUCCGCUGCCGCACCGUCUGCCGUGCCUGGCGCAGCAUAACCUCCACCCGCGACUUCCUCCUCGCCCACCAUGUCCACCAGCCCGCCCUCCUCCUUCUCGACGACUGCACCAACUAUGAAAAAGGCAUCUCCGACUCGCUAAACAUCAUCUGCUUCGACCAUCGGGCAGGGGUGGCCACCCCCGACCAGCUCCAGCCCAUCGCCCGACUUACUGCCCAAACCUCCUUUCAUCUAGAUGCCGCCUUGAUGAGGGUCGACUGCGGAAGCGACAACAUCUCCUACUAUCAUCCGGUUGUCUCCUGCGAUGGCCUCCUCGUCCUCUGCGUCAAGGACAGCGGCUUCUUCAUCUGCAAUCCGGCAACUCGCCAGUAUGCUCGCCUCCCGCUCCCUUUGGGUCAUGCGUGGUGGCUCCUGGGAAUGUACCCUCACCCUUCUACUGACGAGUACAGACUAUUGCUCUACUCAUACAAGCGUAUCACAGAAGAUGAGCGUCAAGAUGCGUGUCGCGUCUUGGCAUUGGGCUCCGGCCAUCCACCGAGGCAUAUUGGGUUGCCAAAUGCGAUUACGCUGGGAUUAGACGACCCGCAUGUGCUAUUCCGUGGUAGCCUGCAUUGGUGCACAUCUGAUUAUGACGGAGAAUGCAAAACGAUAGGGGUGUUCGACACCAGAUCUGAAUUGUUCCGGGAGAUGCGUACUCCCGUUGUUGCUUGCUGCGUUGACCUGUUUGAAAUGGAUGACAUGUUUGGCGUGGCCAUCCUUGAUUGUGAGAAAAUCAUUGAUAUAUGGGUGUUGCAAGAUUAUGAAAGGGAGAUAUGGGUCUUAAAUCACCGGAUUGAAUUGCCGUUUGCGGAGAUCAGGGUGCAGUGCGAUAAGUAUGAUACAUACAUUCGGUCGUCGUUUUAUGUGUCUGUCAUGCCAGGGGAUGGUGAGUUGCUUGUGUUGGUCAAAUUUGCCGAUUGGCUAUUUCGGGUUGGCACGGAUGGCAAGUUGGUCGCCACUUUACAUCGCAAAGGAUUAGAUCGUACUUAUUUUCAGCUUAAACAAUCUCUUGUUUCGCAUACCUUCUUUCAUGCACUAGAGGAUUAUGCUAUGAAUGCUCCACCUUUUAUCUGA